GCAUGUUGAGAACACAUAUGUUAAAUGAACAACAGCAUCAAACAUCAUUCAGCAGCAUGAUUGACAUGUCUCAGAUGAUACUGUACUACUGCCACUAGAGGUGAGAUCUUAAUAGCCAACACCAGAAUCCACGGCUCCCCAGCCAGCUGUGGCAACAAUCAUUGUUUUGUCAAUAUGAAAAUUGCAAGUCUUUGUGUUCAGUAAUGCAAGAAUGACCAUCCCAGAUUUAUUAUUAUUAUUAUUAUUAUUAUUAUUAUUAUUAUUAUUAUUAUUAUUAUUAUUAUUAUUAUUAUUAUUAUUAAUGAUUAUUUUUAUUAUUAUUAGUUGUAGGGUCAGUUGAUGUUUCAGCUUUUGUGGUAUGUGAGUUGAAGCUGUUACAGUCACCAUACAUAUUCAUGGUUUGCAAUCAUUGCAGAAGUAGACAGGGUUAGAGUGGCCUUGUAGGCUAUAGUAGUUUCCUUCAUUCCAUUGUUUUCCCACUCACUACCUAUUCAUUGCUUUUUUAUGCUGCAACAAGAACAUACUCAUCACUUCCCCACACUCUGUUAAAAGCUGUACCUCAGUCUGUUGGUGAGGGUGUGCUGUUAUGUUUUAGCCAAUAAUUGCAGAAACUGGAGAGAAAGAGGAAGGUAUAUAGAGACUAGCAGGCCUGCUGGCUCCUCCACCAUGAGCUGUUGAAUCUUAGGGUGCAGAGCAAGGGAGUGCUGGGAUAACCAAAGGGAAUGGUUCGUACUUAACAGUUUGUGCCGUUAUUGCAUUUUUAUGAAGAAGCGAAUGUCAAUCAGUAUGAUAGACAUUGUUUUAUUUUAUUUUAUAUUCAUUACUAUUUUAUUAAAUUAAACUUAAACGAAAGGUUUAAUACAUUUUUAUUGUGCAUGUUACAGAGUUAAGAUAAUUAUAAUUUUAUGCUUGAUAUAUAUAUAUAUAUAUAUAUAUAUAUAUAUAUAUAUAUAUAUAUAUAUAUAUAUAUAUAUAUAUAUAUAUAUAUAUAUAUAUAUAUAUAUAUAUAUAUAUAUAUAUGGCAAAGUGGAGCUUGUGAUGAUACUGAGGUGUGGGAGUGAGUGAGUGAGUGAGUGAGUGAGUGAGUGAGUGAGUGAGAGAGAGAGAGAGAGAGAGAGAGAGAGAGAGAGAGAGAGAGAGAGAGUGUGUGCGUAAUUCUCUCUGUACCUGUUUUUGCUGUUGGACUUGUGUUACAUUUUUUACAUCCAGAGUCUAUGUAUAAUUAAUUUUAUGUAUAUGUCAUGUGUACAGCUAUUCAAAUUUGCUUUUAAUACUAUGUCAUUGCAGUAUAUGUGUGUCUUUUUCACCUGAACUGAGCAGAUUUUAAGUAACUCCCAUUCAGGAGCAGAAAGAAAGACUAAAGAUUUAGACCAGUUCACUGAUAACUGCAUUUCCCUCAUCCCUUCACCAUUCACUAUAAAGAUAUAGAUAACACUUCAAUUUUACUAUAAGCGUUCUUUGGCUGUCUUUUAGCAGUAAGUCUUAAUUGUGAGUUCUUCGUCAUAGCCAUCAAUUCUUUACCACUUAGAUGCAGAUUUUAUAGUGUGGUGCUGUAGCUCAAAGAUGUUAAGAAUGUGCUGAGGAACUGAACAUGUCUGGUAUAAAAUUGUUCUGCUCCUACAUAAACAAGAGGUGCCACAGACUGAUGCAAGGAGCUGAAUAGCAGCCUAACCAACAAAACAGUGGCUUUUGGACGUCUGGCAGCACACACGCUUUCAGGGACACCUGAAAGUGCACCUGUGGCACAAGUGCAAGACAGAGAAGGGUGAGGGUGGAGGGUGCUUUAAUGUUCACAGCAUAAUUGGUUCAAGAUUUCUUUUUUAUGAAAGGUGUAGGUAGUGUACAUAGUUUCAACUACUGGAUUGUAUGUCUUCAUAUUCAUAGAUUUCAUGACUUAACAUUGUGGUUGCUUUUGUGUGACGCAGGUAAUUCAGUUUCACAUUAUUUAGCUAGAAGGAGCAACAGUUUAUGAUUUUUUUUUAUAAAAGUUAUGUAUAAGAUCUUGCAUUAUGAAGAUUUGUUUAAGGUUUUUAGCUUGGCUUUGUUUAUCACCAUCAUCUAGUUCAGUUAGUCUUUGUCAGCCUGCUGGUGUCACUUCACUACUUAAGCCAUCUCUGAGAAUAUUUAGAUUCAUUAUAUAUCAGCCUGCUGGUGUCACUUCACUACUUAAGCCAUCUCUGAGAAUAUUUAGAUUCAUUAUAUAUAGUCAGCUUCUCAACUUUCUAGAACUUUGAUUGCAGUUACUGUGUUCUGUUUUAGACUCCAGAAUUAAGUCCUGUAUUUUUUAAAAGGUGGUGUGAUUUAUGAUGGCCAUAUAGUGUUACAAGGGACAACAUGAAAUUAUACUGUCAGAAGUUGCUUGUUUAUCAGUGAUGUAUUGAAAUCUAAAAAUGUAUUAAGUUUGGAUGCUAUUUACACUCAGUACAAUUUUUUGAAAUGCUUUUUUGAAGCAUAAAAAAAAAAAAAAAAUGGACUAAAAUUUCAAAAAAUUGUACUGGACUAAAAUUUGGACAAAAAUUUCAAAAAAUUGUACUGGACUAAAAUUUCAAAAAAAUUGUACUUGUCAGUGAUGUAUUGAAAUCUAAAAAUGUAUUAAGUUUGGAUGCUAUUUACACUCAGUACAAUUUUUUGAAAUGCUUUUUUGAAGCAUAAAAAAAAAAAAAAAUGGACUAAAAUUUCAAAAAAUUGUACUGGACUAAAAUUUGGACAAAAAUUUCAAAAAAUUGUACUGGACUAAAAUUUCAAAAAAAUUGUACGAAGUUGAAAAUUGUCCCAAGACUUUAUAGAAACAAUGUAAUGAAAAUUGUGUUGAUAUUAUAUCAAGUGAAGGGAGGCUUUUUUUUUUUUUUUUGAUAUAAUAUCAAGUGAAGGGAGGCUUUUUUUUUUUUUUUUAACUGUAGUGUACAUCUGCCUUGUCUCUGGAGACUCUUCAGAGUAUUUUCGACUUAGUACAGUUUUUUUAGCUACUUUUAUGGGGCUUUUCUAGGGCAUUUUACGGUUUUUUGGCCAGUUUUAUAGGGACUUAAAAAUGCACCCUCUAAAUGGAAUUUAGUUUUUACCGUUUUUUUCUCAAAAAUGGAAUUCAGGUCAAUCAAGUUUGGGGCCAUUGCACCCACUAUAUUUAUUCUGUUUAAAUUUCAGAUUUUCAAUAGAUUUUUAUUUAAAAGCCUGCUAAAUUUCAAAUUUUCAA